GACGAACGCUGGCGGCGUGCUUAACACAUGUAAGUCGAACGGUGAAGCGCCUUCCUUUUUGGUGGGUGUGGAUGAGUGGCGAACGGGUGAGUAACACGUGAGUAACCUGCCCCCUUCUUCUGGAUAACCGCAUGAAAGUGUGGCUAAUACGGGAUAUUCUGGGUCUGUCGCAUGAUGGGUCUGGGAAAGAUAUUGUUUCGGUGGGGGAUGGGCUCGCGGCCUAUCAGCUUGUUGGUGGGGUGAUGGCCUACCAAGGCGGUGACGGGUAGCCGGCCUGAGAGGGUGGACGGUCACACUGGGACUGAGACACGGCCCAGACUCCUACGGGAGGCAGCAGUGGGGAAUAUUGCACAAUGGGCGCAAGCCUGAUGCAGCGACGCCGCGUGAGGGAUGGAGGCCUUCGGGUUGUGAACCUCUUUCGCCAGUGAAGCAGGCCUGCCUCGUUUGUGGGUGGGUUGACGGUAGCUGGAGAAGAAGCGCCGGCUAACUACGUG
rnacentral:rRNA from 1 species